GGUUCCAUAGUGUUGUGGUUAGUACAUCUGAUUUACAUACAGAAGGUCCUGGGUUCACGCCUCAGUUGGAGCCA
rnacentral:tRNA from 1 species